CAAAAAUGCUAUUUUAAUAUUAGAAGUCAUUGAAAAAAAUGGAUAAAACUAGAAGAGCAUGCAUGAAUAAAUCUGCCCGGAGAGGCGAACAACGCACUCUUCACUGAGUCAGGAAAUUAGAAGUCAAAAUCUUGAAAUUCAAAUUUAUUCCAAACAGGGGAUAAGAAAAGAAAAACAAGAAAAAUAAUCCUAUAAUCUUGUUUCUCCACUUGCAAUGCAGGGGACAUUAGCUGGAACAAAAUUCUAGAGAAACCUCCAUGAUCCAUCAACAAGCCAAACAUUUAUAUCCACAAAUGUUCCCUCCCGUAUUCUCGCACAAUGACAGGCACACUUGUGGGUGGAACCAUGCCAUAAUCUGUAAUUAUCAUGGAAACAUAAUCUGAAGGCGUUGCAUCAUAGAUCAGAUUUAAAAGCUGAAGAUUUUCACUAUUGGCACAGCCAUCCAAAAAGUUGAUUUCCCCUCUCCCACCAACU
rnacentral:misc_RNA from 1 species